rfam:TPA: Bos taurus chromosome 19, whole genome shotgun sequence.
UCCCUGGUGGCUCAGACGGUAAAGUAUCUGUCUGCAACGCAGGAGACCCAGGUUCAAUCCCCGGGUUGGGAA